rnacentral:lncRNA from 1 species
AAACACAAUUGCACAUAAAAUAAAAAUAAAUUUUAAAAAAGGUCUCAGCCAGGCAGUGGCAGUGCACACCUUUAAUCCCAGCACUCAGGAGGCAGAGGCAGGCAGAUCUCUGAGUUCAAGGCCAGCUUGGUCUACAGAGUGAGUUCCAGGGCAGCUAGGGCUACACAGAGAAAUUCUAUCUCAAAAAACAAAACAAACAAAAAAACUCAGAGAGAGAGAAGUUACUCACAUGGUUGUUGUAAAGAUAUAAUGAGUGAAUGGUGCUUAGUUCUCAGAGCAGAGGUGGCCUAGGAAAGGCCCCUCUGAAGUAAUCCUUGUUUUUGGCAUUUGUAUCUGAGGACACAGGUCCCAGUUUCUGUCCACGGCUGGCCCAGACAUUACCUCAGAAUUGCAGACACCUCCUUGCCACUCGGUGACUAGAAAGCUGACCUUCUCAAUGAGAAGUGACACGGAAGUUCCCAUUGUCCGUCUGCCUGCUGUCCCCUCUGCAGAGUCCUGUACCCACACCAUGCUCCAUCCCAACGACUGCAGAGAGAUGGCUCAGCAGUUACAGGCAUUUGCUGCCAAACCCACGGGCCUGUGUACAAUCCCUGGAACCCAUAUUGCAGAAGAGAACCAGUUUCCACAAGUUGUUUCCUGCCUUCCACAUGGGUACCAUGGAGUGCCACCCCUAAUAAAUAAAUAAAGUGAUGGGAAAAUGAACAUUAGUGUUAGCAGAGGCUCGUGUAUGCUGUGACUUGGAGAAGUGUCCCUAAAGGACUGUGUGUCAAUGGUUCGGACUCUGGCCUCCAGCAACACGAAGAAAUGAUGGAGAGAAUAGAAAUAUGUGCUGGAGAAAUGCUAAGAUAAGUACUGCUCUUGCAGAAGACCCGAGUUCUAUUCCCAAGGCCUGCGUUGGUCAGCUCACAACCACCUGUAACUAGGGCUCCAGGGGAUCCAACACUUCUGGCCUUCUUAGACACUGUACUUGUGUGGCAUACCCACACAGAGACGCAUAUACAUAAUUUAAAAACAAAACAAGCCUUUAGAAAGAAGAGUGGGAGCCUGGUGGGGG